CCUUACCGGGGCCUCCCCGCAGCCUUUCGGGGCUCGGCGGGGCCGUUUGGGGCCUGCCCGGGGCUCGGCGGCGCCGUUUGAGGCCUGGCCGAGGCUUGAGCGGAGCUUUUUGGGGUCGAGCCGGGCCCUUCCCGAGGCCUCCGGGGCCGAACCGGGGCAGAACCGGGGCUUUAAAGGCCUUUAACGGGAAGAACCCCCCGGUGCUCCCGCUUUUGAUUCUUUCUCUCCGGAAUUUGGGGGCGAUUUCAGCCGAAAUCGCUGUAAAAUCGGAGCUUUUUCGUUUUGUAUUUGUCUUAUUUAACAGCAGCGCUUUUCCCGUUUUUUUUCCCCCGGGAUUUCGGCUCCUCCCAAGGGUCAGAAAAUCCCGGGAUUUGAGGAGCGGGAUGAAAUUCCAAGGAUUUCUUCACUCCAGCGAGGAUUUUUUGGCUUUUUUACUGCGGUUUUUGCUUUGAGCGAACCCAAAUCCGUGUGAAAUCCGUGAUCCAGGGAAUUCCUCCCUCGGGAAUGCUGUCCCUGGAACCAGGAAUGACUUAAGGGUAACGCCGCACUUGGCUUUUCCUCGAUAAAUUAUUAUUUAGGAAUUUAAGGAAAAAGAAAAAGGGUUUUUUGGUUUUUUUUUUUGGAUAAAAAUCCGGUGUUUUCCGGCAAGGACUGCCAGCCAUCCCGGCUUCUGGAACUUUGGGAGCCUCCGCGGGGGAUUUUUUGGGGAGUUUUAUUUAAAGAAAAAAUUAAAACAAAAAGGAAAAUCACACAGAAACCCAAGGAGGAGGAAAAAGGGGAUCGAAGAUUCCUGAGGAACGCUCCCGCUCGGGGUUGCAGGGAUCCGGGCACGGCUGGGAUCGCUCCUGGCUGAGGGGUCAGCACUUCCAUAAAACCUCAAUUUUCCUGGAU